rfam:Cavia porcellus supercont2_37 genomic scaffold, whole genome shotgun sequence.
CUCCGCGCGGCCCGAGCCCGCCUCUCCGGGAACCUUGACCUCGCCGCCACACUUAGCUCCAGCUCUCCCUGACCUGCUUUUGAACCUGCUAAUCCCGCCCCGAACUCUGGCCCCGCGGCGAUCCCUCGCCCCAGCCCGGCGCGCUAAUUCCCGGUGACCCCGCUGCGCCGCCGCCUCUCCCCGCGGGCGCAGCUGACACGGGCGGCUCGGGCUCGGGCGCGGAGCCCGCAGAUCCCGCGCUGGACGCAUCCUCGCGCCGGCUCCCGCCCCGGGAAAGAGCCUCGCUCUGUUUCUUCGGUUCCCUUCGAUUUAUUUCAUUUGUUUCUCAAAGAAGCCUAAAGAUCGCGAUCUUUGGUAACACAGGAAAGUGGCGA